UGCAAAGAGUUGGACAGGACUGAGCGACUGAACUGAACUGAAGCAAAAAUAAAUAAUAGAGAAGUAAGAAAAAUGUAAUGCUCAGUUAUUAGUUUAAUGCCAUCAAUUUCUUUUGCAAGAAUUUAAACUGGUAUGUGCCUUUGCCCUUGCUUUCUGGAAAGCAAUAAAGGUUUUCUCUCACUUUUAGGCCCUUUGGGCAUCAGUUCUCUCCACUGAAAAACUGAAGCUGGACUAGAAGAUCUCUACAGCUUCAUUCAGACAUCAAAAUAUAUGUUUGUUUGGGGGGGGGGGAAAUAAUUCAACAGAGUCCUGCCUGUUAAUGACACAGGACCCUGAUUUACCAGUAAAUAUCACAGCCAUUUCUGACAAGUGCCUUUGAUGAUAGACUUCUCAUUGAUCUUGUAGGCUGCUUAUGAAAUGGGCUCUGUUUCAAUGGUUGGGACCAUUUCUAUGUAGUUGAUUAAAUGGUCUACCUUCCUCUUGUGGACUUCCUACCUCUUGGAGGAAAUCUGAAACAGUUCUCUCUCUCUCUCUUUUUUUUUUAGCUUGAUCUACUCCAGUUCUCCACAUACUGCCUGCUUCAGCCACAUCAGUGAUUAACAUCACUUAGCUGGCAGGCUCAGCAAUGUCCAGAGUGAAGAAUGUUGCAGAAGGGGCUUCCUAGUGGUCCAGGGAUUAAGAAUCUGCCUGUUGAUCCAGGGGACACUGGUUGGACCCCUGCUUAGCUCCUCUCUGAAGAGACUAACAAUAGUGCAUUCAUCAGAAGAGCUCCAGUUGGAGCCCAGGAAGAGACAACAGAAGGCUGGGACCAGGCGGGCUGGCUAGAGAGUCACUGGAAAACCAAACCAAAUGGAGAAGAAGGACCACAUUUUCAGAGUUUUAAUAUCAUCUUUGGAUUCUAAUUGGAUCUACUUUGCUUACAAUUCUAAUCAUUUGGGUCAGUCAUUUUCAUUUUGAGCUGAGAUAGAUAAUUGUAUUGUGAAGUAUAUUGUAGUAAUUGAUAUUGUGUAAUUGUAAUUGUGAAGAUAGUAAUUGUAUUGUGAAGCUUCUCUGUACUCAUCUGUAAAAUGGAAAUAAAGCUGAUCACAUAGAAUAAAGGUCA
rnacentral:lncRNA from 1 species